rnacentral:rRNA from 1 species
AUGAGCUAUGACGAGAGCGAGAGGAGUAGGCGCCGCCGCCGCCGCAGCUCCCGCUCGUCGGCGGCGCAGCCGCUGGAGGACGACAACCUCCUCUCCGAGAUCCUCCUCCGCCUCCCGCCAGAUCCGUCCUCCCUCCCUCGCGCCUCCCUCGUCUCCAAGCGCUGGCUUGGCCUCAUCUCUGACCCGGGCUUCUCCCGCCGCUUCCUUCUCCACCACCGCCGCAACCCUCCUCUCCUCGGUUUCUUCGUCCCUUUCAAUUUCAAACCUGCAAUGGAUCCCCCCAAUCGUGUCCCGGAUGGCUACUUCUCCUUGUGCCUUGACCGCGAAAAUGGCGGCGGCAUCUUCAUGCCCAUGGGAUCCCGCCAUGGCCUCCUACUCAUGUACCAAUCAGCGCGGUACCAGCUCUUGGUGUGGGAUCCCUUCAACGUCGACCUACACCGCCUAGCCGUUCCCCCGGAGUGGCUGAAGGCCCCGUUCAAAGGGGCGGUUUUUUGCGGCGCCGGAGACAUUCAACACUUCCGGCUGGUCUUGGUAAGCACAGAGACAGACAAGCAGCAACAUACACGGGCCAUCGCCCGCGUUUACUCGUCGGAGACUGCCAUAUGGGGUGAUCGCAUAUCAACACCACUUCCAUCCAAACUUCCCACCAAGAGUCACAUGUACUUUACCAUAAGUGUGCUAGUUGGGCAUUCCCUUUACUGGUUGUUCGAUGACACAUCGGCAAAAACUCUACUAUUGGAUGGCAUACUUGAGUUUGAUUUGGAGAAGCAGAUCCUAGCUGUGAAACCAGUACCAGUGGGUAUUCCCAAGGAAAACAUGUGCCGAUUCCAGGUUAUGCGGGCAGAGGGUGGUGGCCUUGGCAUUCUCUUUCUGUCAAAUUUCAGUGCCCAAUUAUGGAAGGUGGAGACCGAUUGUGAUGGUGCUGCUUCAUGGGUGCUAGGAAGAACUGUUGAACUGUAUAAGUUACUUUCCAUUGAUUCAAGGAAGAAGAGAAAAUGGCACCAAUGUAUAGUGGGGUUUGCUGAGUACAAUAAUGUGCUGCUCCUACGGACACCUACCGACCUCUUCAUGAUCCAGCUUGAGCCACUGCAGUUCAAGAAAGUUUCCAAGACCAAGAAGUGGGCUCACUAUCAUCCGUUUGAAAGUGUUUAUGCUGCAGGAACGAGCAUUGGUGGUGGACAUGAUGGAGCUGAACUUUUGCACAAUACAUAA